UAUUAGCUUUAUUACUAUAAAUACUAAUGAUUCCUGAAUAGGCUUUUUGUCUUUAACUUGAGACUCCUUCCUUCAUAACAGCUAUAUGACAACAGAGCAAGCUCUGAGGAGUGAGAUUUGAGAGCCUAGAGAAAAAAAAAAUCAAUAAAACUAAUUUGAGAACUCAUCUGAAACAAAGAAUUGUAUUCUCCAGAGACAUGAAUGGAAGAAAAGAGAAAGAGAGAGAGAGAAGAAAGUUGCCCGUGCUUCAUUCAUUUGUAAGCAUUUAUUGAGUACUUUUUAUCUUAUUAUUUUUAAACUUUUAGUGAAAAGGGGUGUAUGUGCAAG
rnacentral:lncRNA from 1 species